UACGUAGGGUGCAAGCGUUAUCCGGAAUUAUUGGGCGUAAAGAGCUCGUAGGCGGUUUGUCGCGUCUGCUGUGAAAACUGGAGGCUCAACCUCCAGCCUGCAGUGGGUACGGGCAGACUAGAGUGCGGUAGGGGAGAUUGGAAUUCCUGGUGUAGCGGUGGAAUGCGCAGAUAUCAGGAGGAACACCGAUGGCGAAGGCAGAUCGCUGGGACGGUACUGACGCUGAGACGCGAAAGCGUGGGGAGCAAACAGG
rnacentral:rRNA from 1 species